AUUAGAGCAGUGGACUGUCACUACCUCGACGCCAGAGUGUUUGCCAGUUUUGGGAAGCUUUCCUGUGUUACUGGACUCCUUGAACUUCUCUCCACUAGAAGGAAAAAAACGAGUUAUACUGAGCAGGGGAAAACCUCCAUAUGUUCUGUUCAAAUACCCAUCGGAAAUCUGAGUGACAGUCCCCUUUUUUACUCCUUCGGGUCCAGAGCUUGUCAACCUAUCCACCCUCCAAUAUGUGCACCCUUCUCUGGAUUUACCACACAGUCUGGAUUCAGGGAUUAACAAGACCCCCCUCAAAGAUCCCCACCUAGCAAAAUCUCAGAGCUUCAAAGAUUCCCACGGUACCUGAACUGACCACUGAACUUCCCGUUCGGGGUCACCAGUUCACUUAGUUCCAGAUCCAACUCCUGUCAACGCCUUCAAUAAACCUGUUAAACUUU